rnacentral:rRNA from 1 species
GACGAACGCUGGCGGCGUGCUUAACACAUGCAAUUCGAACGGAAAGGCCCUGCUUUUGUGGGGUGCUCGAGUGGCGAACGGGUGAGUAACACGUGAGUAACCUGCCCUUGACUUUGGGAUAACUUCAGGAAACUGGGGCUAAUACCGGAUAGGAGCUCCUGCUGCAUGGUGGGGGUUGGAAAGUUUCGGCGGUUGGGGAUGGACUCGCGGCUUAUCAGCUUGUUGGUGGGGUAGUGGCUUACCAAGGCUUUGACGGGUAGCCGGCCUGAGAGGGUGACCGGCCACAUUGGGACUGAGAUACGGCCCAGACCCCUACGGGAGGCAGCAGUGGGGAAUAUUGCACAAUGGGCGGAAGCCUGAUGCAGCAACGCCGCGUGCGGGAUGACGGCCUUCGGGUUGUAAACCGCUUUCGCCUGUGACGAAGCGUGAGUGACGGUAAUGGGUAAAGAAGCACCGGCUAACUACGUGCCAGCAGCCGCGGUGAUACGUAGGGUGCGAGCGUUGUCCGGAUUUAUUGGGCGUAAAGGGCUCGUAGGUGGUUGAUCGCGUCGGAAGUGUAAUCUUGGGGCUUAACCCUGAGCGUGCUUUCGAUACGGGUUGACUUGAGGAAGGUAGGGGAGAAUGGAAUUCCUGGUGGAGCGGUGGAAUGCGCAGAUAUCAGGAGGAACACCAGUGGCGAAGGCGGUUCUCUGGGCCUUUCCUGACGCUGAGGAGCGAAAGCGUGGGGAGCGAACAGGCUUAGAUACCCUGGUAGUCCACGCUGUAAACGGUGGGUACUAGGUGUGGGAUCCAUUCCACGGGUUCCGUGCCGUAGCUAACGCUUUAAGUACCCCGCCUGGGGAGUACGGCCGCAAGGCUAAAACUCAAAGGAAUUGACGGGGCCCCGCACAAGCGGCGGAGCAUGCGGAUUAAUUCGAUGCAACGCGUAGAACCUUACCUGGGUUUGACAUGGAUCGGGAGUGCCCAGAGAUGGGUGUGCCUCUUUUGGGGUCGGUUCACAGGUGGUGCAUGCCUGUCGUCAGCUCGUGUCGUGAGAUGUUGGGUUAAGUCCCGCAACGAGCGCAACCCUUGUUCACUGUUGCCAGCACGUUAUGGUGGGGACUCAGUGGAGACCGCCGGGGUCAACUCGGAGGAAGGUGGGGAUGACGUCAAGUCAUCAUGCCCCUUAUGUCCAGGGCUUCACGCAUGCUACAAUGGCUGGUACAGAGAGUGGCGAGCCUGUGAGGGUGAGCGAAUCUCGGAAAGCCGGUCUCAGUUCGGAUUGGGGUCUGCAACUCGACCUCAUGAAGUCGGAGUCGCUAGUAAUCGCAGAUCAGCAACGCUGCGGUGAAUACGUUCCCGGGGCU